rnacentral:rRNA from 1 species
UACAGAGGGUGCAAGCGUUGCUCGGGUUUACUGGGCGUAAAGCGUACGCAGACGGUAAGAAAGGUCGGAUGUGAAAGCCCCGGGCUCAACCCGGGAACUGCAUCCGAAACCAUCUUGCUAGAGUAUGAGAGAGGGAAGCGGAAUUCCUGGUGUAGAGGUGAAAUUCGUAGAUAUCAGGAGGAACACCGGCGGCGAAGGCGGCUUCCUGGCUCAUUACUGACGUUCAGGUACGAAAGCGUGGGUAGCAAACAGG